UGGGGAAUCUUGCGCAAUGGGCGAAAGCCUGACGCAGCGACGCCGCGUGGGGGAUGAAGCUUCUCGGAGUGUAAACCCCUUUCGACCCGGACGAAACGCCCGCAAGGGCUUGACGGUACGGGUAUAAGAAGCCCCGGCUAACUACGUGCCAGCAGCCGCGGUAAGACGUAGGGGGCCAGCGUUGCUCGGAAUUACUGGGCGUAAAGGGUUCGUAGGCGGUGCGGCAAGUCGGGAGUGAAAUCUCUGGGCUUAACCCAGAGGCUGCUUCCGAAACUGCCGUGCUAGAGUGCGGGAGAGGCGAGUGGAAUUGCAGGUGUAGCGGUGAAAUGCGUAGAUAUCUGCAGGAACACCCGUGGCGAAGGCGGCUCGCUGGACCGCAACUGACGCUGAGGAACGAAAGCUAGGGGAGCAAACAGGAUUAGAUACCCUGGUAGUCCUAGCCCUAAACCAUCAGGACUUGGGGUGCAUCCCGUUCGGGGUGCGUCCCGUAGCUAACGCGUUAAGU
rnacentral:rRNA from 1 species